UGCCUACGGGACGCAGCAGUGGGGAAUAUUGCACAAUGGGGGAAACCCUGAUGCAGCGACGCCGCGUGAAGGACGAAGUAUUUCGGUACGUAAACUUCUAUCAGCAGGGAAGAAAAUGACGGUACCUGACCAAGAAGCCCCGGCUAACUACGUGCCAGCAGCCGCGGUAAUACGUAGGGGGCAAGCGUUAUCCGGAUUUACUGGGUGUAAAGGGAGCGUAGACGGCGAUGCAAGUCUGAAGUGAAAGGCGGGGGCACAACCCCCGGACUGCUUUGGAAACUGUAUGGCUGGAGUGCAGGAGAGGG
rnacentral:rRNA from 1 species